rnacentral:rRNA from 1 species
AUGCAGUCGAACGCGAAAGGCUCCUUCGGGGGCCGAGUAGAGUGGCGCACGGNCUGNNAUAACACGNUAGGUAAUUUGCCUUCGGGUGGGGAAUAACUCAGGGAAACUUGAGCUAAUACCGCAUAAUGCAGCGGCUCGACAUCGAGACAGUUGUUAAAGCGGGGGAUCGCAAGACCUCGCGCCUGAAGAGAAGCCUGCGGCAGAUUAGCUAGUUGGUAAGGUAAUGGCUUACCAAGGCGACGAUCUGUAACCGGCCUGAGAGGGCGGUCGGUCACACUGACACUGACAUACGGGUCAGACUCCUACGGGAGGCAGCAGUCGGGAAUUUUGGGCAAUGGGCGAAAGCCUGACCCAGCAACGCCGCGUGAAGGAUGAAAUUUUUCGGAAUGUAAACUUCGCAAGAACAGGAAGAAUAAGUAGGGGACAAUACCCCCUAUGAUGACGGUACUGUUUGUAAGCUCCGGCUAACUCCGUGCCAGCAGCCGCGGUAAUACGGGGGGAGCAAGCGUUGUUCGGAUUUACUGGGCGUAAAGGGCGCGUAGGCGGCGUGACAAGUCACUUGUGAAAUCUCCGAGCUUAACUCGGAACGGUCAAGUGAUACUGUCGUGCUAGAGUACAGAAGGGGCAACUGGAAUUCUCGGUGUAGCGGUGAAAUGCGUAGAUAUCGAGAGGGACACCUGCGGCGAAGGCGGGUUGCUGGGCUGAUACUGACGCUGANGCGCGAAAGCCAGGGGAGCGAACGGGAUUAGAUACCCCGGUAGUCCUGGCCUUAAACGAUGAAUGCUUGGUGUCUCAGGUUUAUAGUCCUGGGUGCCGUUCCUAACGCUUUUAGCAUU